rnacentral:misc_RNA from 1 species
CCUUAAAGAAGCGUACUUUGBAGUGCUCACACAGAUUGUCUGAUGAAAAGUAAAUAGCAAGGCGUCUUGCGAAGCAAACUGAUACGUCCCCUUCGUCUAGAGGCCCAGGACACCGCCCUUUCACGGCGGUAACAGGGGUUCGAAUCCCCUAGGGGACGCCACUUGCUGGUUUGUGAGUGAAAGUCACCUGCCUUAAUAUCUCAAAACUGACUUACGAGUCACGUUUGAGAUAUUUGCUCUUUAAAAAUCUGGAUCAAGCUGAAAAUUGAAACACAGAACAACGAAAAUUGUUCGUGAGUCUCUCAAAUUUUCGCAACACGAUGAUGAAUCGUAAGAAAAGAAACAUCUUCGGGUUGUGA